AAUAUCUAUUCCCUUGACUAUUUUAUAUUUUAUGUCUUGACCAAAUCAUGUGCCAGCCGUCCCGGUAAUACAUGAAAGACUACUGUUAUUCCUCUUUAAUAGGUUUAACGGGUACCUAGACGGUCAAUCUAUCCUACAAAAGGGACCUAUUUACUACCAUUUCUAUUACACAAGGUGGAAUUUUUGGAUUAAACAUAUAUUUUGCUAAAUCCAAACAGACACACCCGGUGAAGACAACCUUCUCUCUAUUUACUGUCUUUUAGGGACGAAGGCUCGCCCACCGCUUAGGAUUAGAUCCCCUAGCAGUCCCCUCAUAAAAUUAUGAAUGUCAUUGACUUAUUUCCCUUCACCUUCCCGCCGACAGUGCCAAUAUUCCUCCUUGAGAGUAC
rnacentral:rRNA from 1 species